GGAGGAGUCCUCCUCCUCCCCCUGAGGAGGACGGAGCGGCAGAGACAAGAUAGCAUGGGCCAAUGACCGCAGAAGAGCAAUGUUAACCAGAACUUAACCUGACCUGUCUUUGUGAAUAGAACUGAUCCCAUCUCACAUCACCGGGGCACAAGAAAGUUUCUGGUAAGCAUUUUCCCACCCUGGUGAUGGAAGAGUGAUGGUGCCACAUGAAGUUAUGACUCUGUAAACGUGAAUGCUGAGUAAUGUGUGUAUGAAUUUCAUCUAGCAACUUUUUCUCCGAGUAAGAAUAGGUUUUCUCCAGCCAAAACAUUGCAACAGGAGAUUUGCAGUGAAUAUGCAGAAGCUGGACUUUGUAUAAGCAGUGCAGAAUCCUCCCCACCACCUGUCCUCCAGGAAAAAAGAAGGACUUCUUCCUCAUUGCCCCUCAGGCCAGCAGGGAAAAUACAGAUUGAAAGAGGUUCCUGAUAUGCCUACUGCCGGACUUGGGAUCUGCAAGAAAAGUCCUGCUCUUCAGCAGACAAACAAUGAGGGUUUCUUAAUCCAAAAUUCAUCUUUGAUGAGCUUGCCUAACAGAUAAGACUAUACUCAUCAUGUGUGAAUAAACUGGGUUUUUUUCAGUGUGAUUCUAAAAUGGAUUAAAUGUAUAGGCAUAGACAAAAAUAUGUUGUGGGUUUGUUUUUUUUUUCCCUUGAGGUAAUUUCAUUUUUUUGAGUACUUGAAUACAUUCCUUUCAAAUUGUGUUUAUAUAAUAAUUACUAUUAGUACAUACUAUUUAUAUCACAAUGUUCUAUGUUUUACAACACUGAAGAGAAGGACAUGUCUAGCAUGGGAAAUGUUUGUGCUAAUGGCUCUAGUCUUAGCAAAAUUAUAAUUGAUGGCAAUAAGGUCUUAUGAGAAACGUUAGAAAAGCUUAAAAGGAAGUCCUACUAGCACCAUUGAUAAUAAGUUUUGGUUGCAGUCUGUUCCUUCACCCCAACAGCUACCCAGGAGUCCCUUAUUCUUGAGUUUUGCUUUACUCCUGAGCUCUAGACAAAUACAUUUCAUGUUUAUUUGUUGGUGGAUGUUUGUGUACCUGAUUGUGAUUUGCAUUUCCCUUUCAGAUCUGCUAAUUUCACAGUUUUUUGUAGUAUUAUCCUGUGAACUGAACACUAAAGUAAUUUUCAUGUUUAAGACUGGUACUUUGUGGUGGAACACUACUCUGAAGAGCCAGAUUUGAAUGUUUUUUCAGCAUGUGGGAUUUUUUACUGACUCCAGAAACAUUCUUAUUGAGAUCAUUAUGUUAUUUAUGAGGUGAACAAUGUUUGACCAGCAGCUGUAGAAACUGGCCUGUGUUUAAAAACCUUCCCAUCUGCUGGUACUGGCCUAUCAGUUUUUCCCAGAGAUCUAGUAACAACAACCUGAACAAGAAAUACUCCUUACUGUUCCCACACAGAAAGGCCAGCCCUAAACUCUAGCACACUGCAUCCUGAGGCAAAAGCUUCCAUGAAGAUGGAGUCAAAUAGGUGAUUAAGUCUAGGCUCAUGCUGGGAGUUGCAUAUAAACAUGAAGCUGUCAGAGGGCAGACUAAAGGUGUGCCAAGGCAGACCGAAUGUAAUAAUGAAGUCAAGCAGGCUGGUAAGUUUCUGUAAGCACAGAAUUCCUUAUAACUAAGUAUUUCCCUUGAAAUAAUUGCUUCCAUGUUCAUCCAUUGAAAUGUAUGAUCAUUCAAAAAAAAAAAAAAGGAAGGUGGUUAUAGGAUUGUAUCCAUCCAGAAGAUUAUAUUCAAUCUCAUAAUCCUCAAAGGUGGCAUUACCUCCCCACCCACAUAUGCACACACAAAAUUAAAAAAAAGGUAGAAUAAUCUGAUCAUUGCCUUAGAUUUUUUUUGCCAAGUUACUUUAUCAACACAAAUGCAGCGUUCCCAAGGUUAGAAUGUGACAUUCUGGAUUCUAAAAAUUGUUUCUGGAAAUGUUUUGACCUGCACUACAUAAUUUUGAUAAGAUAAACAGAUAUUUUAAUGAUUUCACUAACCAUGUAAAUUAAAUGUAUUUCAGUUGCACAGU